UGUUUCUGUGCAAACUGUACAAACACAUGUGCUCAAGGCUGGCAGUGGCAUUGCCACUUGUGGAGAGCAAACUUACAGAAUUUAGAGAGUCAACCACUAGAGCUCAGUUUAUUCACUGCUUUAGCAGAGCAGAUUGGAAAUCAGAGGAAUUAGUACUGAGGAGUCUUUUGCUGUUAAUUCAGUCCUGGUAAUCUGUGGACCAUAUUCAUUGAUAUUUCAAAGGCUGUUAUAAUUUCUUUUUCACUAAGUGCAAAUUCUUCUGUUUUAAUGCAAAACCCAAACUCAUCAAUGCUUGCAACAAGCAUCCUAAAGGCAAAUGGACCAGUCAGAGCCCUGAGUGACCUGAUAUGACCUCCUAACUGACUCUGCUUUGAGCAAGAGGUUGAACUACAUGUCUUGCUGGAGUUGCUUUAAACAUGAGUUAUCUUAUGAUCUGGUGAUUUGUAAAAAUGGUGAAUAUAUCUCCUAAUUGUAUCUCCUUUUGGGGUAUCAUACUUUGAACAUUUUUUGAGAUGGUUGCCUUCCAGAAAAGACUUCAGCACUGAGUCCUUUCACUUGCCUAACUCUGAUCUCACAGUCAAUGCCACUGCAGUAAAAUGCCAUGUUAUCUUUGAACAUGGGUGCUCAACCCCUUUGCAGAGAACACCGUGCCAGCCACAGGUCCCAGUGUUCAGUACAUCACAGGAGCCAGACCAUGGGUGUAUUAUCCACUUGUAAAAUGGGGGCUUAAUAAAACUCACAGGGCCUGAGUUUUUUUUCAUGAGCCCCCAAAAACAAUGUAUGAUGAUUCUGAAGGAGUUUACCAAAAGGAGGGUGGCAUUUCCCAGGGCUCUCCUCACAUGUGGGUGCAGCCCAGCUUUAAAGGUACUGCUCAGAAACACCUUGAAGUGCUGGGCUAUAAACUACAGCAGCCCAGCUGCUGUUGUGCAAACUGUGUGAUGCUUGUGGUGAGGAUGGGAACCUUAAAAAUUGGGUAGGUAAAGAGCAGGAAAUGGGAGCCAUUACCUCUGUCCCAAGGGAAGUGGUUCCCCCUGUGAAUCACAGCCCUGGUUUCGCUGUGCUGUGUGGGAGUGGCAUCCUGUCCCAGGUGGAUAUUCCCAGCUCCUGAGGCCUGAAAGGUCUGACUGCUGCAGGCAAAAGGAGCAGGACAGUCCUAGUCCCACCAGCAUCACUCUGUGCAGCUUCCCCCAUCAUCUGGGGAGCAGAGAGGAUGAGGAUGUGUCAAGUCCUGUAUGCUGCAUGAAUUGAUGUGGUCCUUUGCUGUUAGGAAUGGCCAGAGAGGGACAAAGACUGCAGUCCUUUACUCAGUAGUUUGGCCUCGUGCCACACAGUCCUUGGGUUAUCCCUUGGAGAACAAGACCUGCUGCUGUGUGAGACAGCCCAGAUUGCCAAGUCUUGCCUUCCCCCCCACCAUGAGUCACCCGGCUCUGGCAGAGGCUGGAGCUGGAGCGGGGCUCACAGUGGCACAGGAACCUCCUGCCCUGGCUCACGCUCCAGCCUGUCCUGGAGGAAACCCUCUGUCGGCUCCUGCGCCCGCUCUGCCCGUGCCAAAGGCUGCCACACCCCGGUUCUUGAGGCCUUCUUACUCAUAACGGAGACAGACACCAAAACCAAGCAGUCCCUCCUCUGCUCCCUGGGCUCUGUAGCUCCCACAGCCUUUUCCAGUGCCCCUUCCUUUUGUUCUGUCUAGUCCAAAGCCUCUGCACAGGAGCUGUUUCCAUCCGUUCUCAGGAAGAGAAGGCAGAAAUGAGACAGAUCCUGGCCAUUGAGUGUAGGUGGUAUUUAUCCUUCCUAAGCCAAAUAAUGGGAUAAAUCCCCAAACCUCUGUUCAUCCAAGGCUGUUUGUGUUUCCUGGAGCAGUACAAUUAAUGACACAAGCCAUGAGUGUGUACAGUGUGAAGGGGCAGAGCUGUGUCUUCAUCUUCCCUAUGUUUCUGCUCUGAUUAAGUGCACCUUCUUCCACCUCUGAUGCUGAGGUGCACAGAGCUGCCCCACAGCUCACUCACGAUGAGCAGAUCAUUUAGAGGUUUCUAUUGUUUGUAAACUGUGGUGGAGAGAAAGCAGCAUCUGAAUCCCCAGGUCUUCUGGAAACAUUGUGGCUCACCAAAGAUCUUUCAUCUCAGCCCUUACUUCUUACUAAGAACUUACCCUUAUCAUAGAGCUAGAACUGAUAAUUUUGGGAAUUUAUAUAUAAAUAAUCAUUUGGUAAUUUGAUAUAAAUUGAAAUUAAUUUUAUGAUAUUAGCAAGCUAUGGAAUUUUUGUGUCAUGAAAUGUCUUUGCAGCAGCAACAUCUGUCAUUAAGGAGUAAUGGAAAUCCAUUAAAGUGCUUGCAGUUUUGGACAAAAGGUGGCACUUACCUAGUAAAGUUAAUGAGGGAGUGAAAACCUCUAGACCUGAUAAGAGUGACCCAGGACAGGUCUUCUGGUCUUUUGGGGAUGGACUUCAGCUUUAUCUGCUCAUAUGCCAAAAUAGCCAGAUGUAAACUAUUUAUAUUAGAGAAGUUAUGUGAUCCUGGUAAAGUAGCUGAAACAAUAAUCCUUGCUAAGGGCCUGAAUUUAUUAAGUCAAUAAUUAGAUUAUUAGGCAUAUAGCUGUGCCUGUGUAGGUGUCUGAAGUUUAUUUUCCAUCUGGUUUACAUCCAGUGAGUUCAGGUAAUUUGUAAAAGGUAGUCCAUGUGUACAGUGAGGAGCUGCAAAAAAGAUUUGUAGAAGAAGCAAUGGGAGAAGCCACAAGUAGAAAGUCUCAGGCUAUGUGGGAGGGGAGAAGAACUGAAUGUAUCUUUUCCACAGAAGUCAGGUUUAGCCAAAGGGCCAGUCAUGAAGGUCAACAAAAAGCCCCUGGAUGAAAGAAUUUCACUCUUAUUCUCAAGAAGGAGCACUGGAAAGAGGAUCCACAUGUGUGCUUAGAAAAGCCAAAUGAGGUUGUGCUUGGACUCACACACUGAAACACGUGGGUUCAGAAGUCAAUGACAUGUUCAGAUAGGGAAGGAUGGUUGUUGUGAUGGUUGUCUGAUCUGUUGUCAGAGCCAGUGAACAUCUCUGGUUCCACUGGCACCCCAAGAGAGGUGCUGGCAGGUGAAUUCCCCUCCUGCCCCUAAGCUUAGGUAAGAAAAAACAGGCACAUAGCAAGGUCUUAGUGACAGAGAGGUUCUUACAGGGAACUGGAAAGCAUGGAAGGGAUUUCAGGGGUGGGAGUGCAAUAGUUCCUGAAAGGCAGAAAAAUACUUGUAAAUAUUGCAUCUGUUCAGAUGGAAACAAGUUCUUUUAGGAACAUCUGAUAAUAACUUUUACAGUCAAGUACAAUUUUUACUUUAAAAGCAUGAAGAGAUAGUUCUGCUUUUGAUAGACUAAAAUCAACCCCCUGAUACCCCUCAGAAAAUGCCAUUUCCUUAGGUAACUGUAGCAUCUUGGAAGUUUGGAAGUUUGUCCUUCAUGGUAAAAGUGGGACACCUUUUAUUUUUCAAUAAUAAAAAUCUACCAAAAUUUUGAUAAGGUUAUACAGUAAGUUGGAUCAAACUAUGUACUGAACACAAACCCCACCAAUCUUACAAGGUAUUUUGUAUUUGUUAUUUUAGGGGUUUGGUAAAGACAACAUGGUAAAGUCAGGAGGGGAAGUGAAAUUGCUGGCUACUAAGUUUUAGUUGUUAUUUUUAAUGUAACAGUACUCCAUUCCUGGAUGGGGAAUAGGCAUGGGGUGACAGGUGGAACACCAGGAAACUGGGAGGUCAGGUCAGGCCACCAACACCAGGAAUUGAACAAGAGCUAGGGUUGAGAUUCCCAGUAAACCUACAAUUAGAUAUUCAAGUUAAUGAAGGAGAGCCUUAGCCUUAAGGACAUCCUCUUCCUGGUGGUUUCUUGUAUUCCUGGGUGCCAGGGCUUGUGGUGUUGUGAGCACAGAUCUGCACCAGUGACCUUAAUGAGAGUAGUUUAUACAUCUCUAUCCAUCCAGUAUCACUGCAGCUUUAGAGGCUGAAUUAGCAAUUCUGAUCAGCCUCUGCUUUCUGUGCAAAUGUUCCCAGGUAUUUAAUCCUUGCCUUAGUGUAAUGAGGUGGAAAAGCUUUUGGUUGAAAUCCAAGCAGCAUCUUUAAAAACAACUGAUGUUUUUGUCAUUGUUUUGACCAGUACUGCUCUGAUUAUUUUUCAAGUACAAAAUAUGUUCAGACUGACAGCUUGUACCUUUUGUUUUAUCUUCCAGAAGAAUUUUUACAGUCUCAAGUUAUCAGUUCUAAAACCAGUUUAGGUUUAUAGCUGAAUGAUUGGCAGAUGUUUAGCUGUUGUGGGGAAGUUUAAAUACAGCUGUUAAUUUUACAUGCUGGUAUCAUGUGAGGCAGUCCCCAAGACUUUGUCUUAUAAACUGUGUUGGCUUUUAAGGGUCCUGGUACCCUUAGAAAUUAUUUCUGCCUCUUUUGCCUGUGCUUUGUACCUCUUUGUAACACUUCCAGUGACUACAAUCCUGUACUUAGAUAGAAGAGCUGAUCUACUGGAGCCUUACCCUGGGAAUGAACUCCACUAAUCAACUGCUCAUGACUCCAACAGAUGUUUCUGCUUAUCAGACAAUUGGAACCUCAUGUUCUACUAUAUUUCUUAAUUUUUUUUCUUCUUUUGAUACUGGCAGCAAAUGCCCCAUACACAUGUGAGCUUCAAAAACUUGUCACAUGAUAGCAGGAACAAAUUGCUAAGCCAGUCAGCAAAGUUCAGGUUUGAAGUGGUGGUCCACUGAAGGCAACUGAGUCUUAGAAGCUGAAGGAAUCAUUUAUGGAAUUACUAUGCUGUGGUUUUGUUGUAAAUGCCAAUAUUUUAUUUCAGCAUCUUGUAUGAAAUUUGGAAAUGCAAGAAGAACUUGGAUCACAACUCUUUUUUUCAAAGACUGAAUCACUUUAGGAUGUGGAGAUAAAAUUAAAGAUUCUUCUGAGGAUAUGAGUAUUAUCCUCUUGAAACCACAGAAAGGGGAUGUGAAUAGUUUAUACGAUUUUCUUAUAUACAGACUUAUCUCCCACAGCAGGUCAAAAUCUGUGAAUUUUCUGAUAUGAUGGAAAUAUAGAUGUGAAGAAUUUACUUUUUGUUUCAGUUUGUUUAGUCUGUUGCAUUUAACUUUCCAUUUCUAAUUGAUAAAUGACUGAUGGAUUAUUGAUCAAUCAGAAUCUUUGUAUGAUUUGGGCAAAAGGAAAAAUAACACGUGUAGAAAAGAUGAUAGACUGUCACUCCACAAAGAUGCAGCUUAUUCCACUGCCAGCAAACCCAGAACUGCUUUGUGGAAGUGAAACACCUGUUCCAAGAGUACAAUGGAACCAUACAAAUUGUAGGCACUUCUUGGGGAUUAAAGCAACUCAUAUGCAAACCAUUCUUCUGUUAGCAGUGAACAGUUAAUCAUGAACCUUCCCCUACCCACAGCUCACCCACACUGUGCUGAUUCAGGAGCUGUGGCAGGGCAUGGCUAGAAGGCACAGCCAGGAGGUUUAUCAGUAUUCACACUUCAGUAGCCAAGCAGGAGCCUCACCACAUGUGGGAGACCAUAACCAGGACUUGUUCCUUUUCACCCUUUCCCAUAGGAAAUAUCUUAACUUGCUGCUGUUGGUGGGCUUGGUUGAGAUGAUAAACACAGCUACAAAGAGCAGUGGGAGUUGGAAGCUCUUCUGUGAAUGGGAAAGGUGAGAGUGAGGGUAGAGAGGGUCAGUGGCUUCCUCUGCAGCCCUUCUCAGGAUAGUUGGUACCUCUGAAAAUUUCUCAGCAGAUAAAGAUGUAAUCAGUUAACAGCAUGGCCAGUAAUACCCACUGGACAUGUUGGCAGUUGUUUUUAAGCUGCUGAUACACUUCUUUAAACAUCACAUUUAUUCCCAUUGUUUUAAAGCCAAACUCCAACCUCCUGGUGCCAUGUGCAAGUGUUUGCUGGAACAUGAACUUGGGCUGCAGGUCUGGAGUGCAGAAGGAUUUGUGUCUGCAUAGAGUCACUGUAGUUUUUUUGUGACUGUGGAUGAGAUUUCUUCUUUGCUUCUUGUGCUUUCUGUGUAGAGUAGGAAACUAGGAGCCCAUAAAAUAUGGGGAACAGAAAGCUGGUGGAUGAUCCUCAUUAGAACAUGUGCAGGCAUGGUGGGACUGGGAGAAGAGGAAUCAUUAGGGGAAAGAAUCAUCUGAGCCAAGGGAGAAGAGAUUAUUUGGUAGUGCUGAAGCUGGCUGACAAGCCAUGGAGAAAAAUUGGGUAUUGAUUUGAAACUUUGCUAAGUGCCAUUGGAAACUGAGAGAAGAAUGAUGUUGGUGGAAUGAGCUUUGAAAGGAUUCAGAGGAGACAGCUUGAUUCCAUGUAACCAUAACGUUAAGAAGAGACCUGGGGUGUGUAGAGAGAUCAGAAGUCUUAUGGCCAGUGAGAAUAAUUUCAAGUGUUCCAUCAGACUCAGGGAGAGCUUGGUUCAAAUAGACAGACACAGAGAGAUGAGUGAAGAUACCUGAUCAGCCCAGAAGCAGCAUUUUCCCUCCUUGUUCUGGGGCAACAGGAGUCAGUAAACCAAAGCCAGCUUUGCCUGUAACCCUAAGGAACUGCGGUAGGUUUUUGGUGGGGUGUAAGAAAACAAAUUUUUUUCCCUCUAUCCCGCUUCCAGCCUUGUAGCCAGAGAGAUGGAGACAUUCCUCCUUCCGGGAAGGAUUUCCAGCGGUCUAAAAUCUGCUGUAGGGCUGACUCGUAAUCCCAUGUGUGUGUCCAAAGCACAUGACCGGGAUGAACGGGUGCCCUGGGAGGACGAUGAUGGGAGAUGUGCUCGGGUCAGAGCGGGGGUUCCGGGGGUUAACUGGGAGAGGUCAGUCCCGGGGGCUCCGGGCUGGCUCCUCUCCCUGCGGUUCAUGUGCUCGCUCACACACACGGAUCCAUCCAUCCAUCGAUGAGCUGUCAUGUGCCGGCUGCACGCCCACAGCAGGAAGGAAACGGCCGGUCCCAAGUCAGGAGUAGUAAAAAAAAAAAAAAGAAGAGGAGAAUAAAAAAAAAAAGGCAGCAAACAGCAGGCAGGCUGUGUAUUGUCCCGAUUCCUCCCGGACUGAAGGAAUCCUUUGCCCCAUGAUUCAUGCUGAGCUGUCUGCUCCAUCCGGCAGGCACGGAGCAUCCGGCAGCCGUGUCAGGCAGCCUCCCACUGGAACUGGGUGCUGCUGGCACCGCAGCCUGCAGCGUUUCAGGAUUCUUUUGUUAGUCAGGGCACUGGCACUUCCUUUGGCAUUUGGCUCCAGGAAGGCUUGUGUGUGAGCAGGGGCUUUUUUUUUUUUUUUUUUUUUGGUUCCUUUUUUAUUUUCUUUUUUAAAGUGUUUUUGUUGCUAUUUUGUUCAGUUUCACAUAUGGAAUGUGAAGUUUUGGUCCAGACGUCUCCCUCGCUCCUGGCUCUCUGUAGGUCGAAGUCUCUGUUUUCUGAUGAUUAGCCAAUACCAGCUGUUCUGGCAAUGAAGAUGUCUCAAAUCAAUCCUAUCCUGUCUGGCUUUCCAGGAAGAGCCAGCCCUCCCUUCGCUCUCCACAGCCCCUGUCAUCCAGGACUGAAAUUUAUCAGAGCUGCUUCGAGCAGGAAAUUAGCUCCUUUACAACUUGUUCUCCACUGCUUCUUAUUCAUUUUAUUGUUUUAACAUUUUCCAGAAAAUAAGGCAGAAAACAAACCUGCUUCCUCUUUAGAAGAGUUGUGCUGUUAACCUGUGAAAUGCUUAUUUCCUUGGCAGGCUACAGCUUAUCUUUAUAGCAGAACCACAAGAUUAAAAUCAGUUAAAGCUGAACUCAGAUAAUGAAUAAAACACUGGAAAACAUUUAGUCAUCCUUUAAGAUCCUGAAGAUAAGGAUUUCUACAUAUAGGCAUCAAAGCUGUGAUGAGCAGCAAGGGAGGGAUGGGCUCAGGAAAAAUGGAAUGAGUCUGCCCACAGACUCAGGAAUGUGCCUGUCAGGAACUUAUUUGGGGGUCUGGGUCUUCAACACCUUUAUUAAAUUGACUUGACUGUCCUGAAGAGCUGAGCACCUGCCACUUCCAUGUAUGCAAAACUCAUCUUAAAAUUUCAUUCAGGUAAAGGAAAAGUGGUUUUUACCUACUUUAUAUCUGACUUUAGAUGCAGAUAUAUUAAUGUUUUAAAUGUUUUCUAUGUGUCUUUCUAACAGCCACAUAGGAAUAUUAUUUUUCUUUGAGAUUUUCAGAAGGAAGACACUCUCUUAAUUAGUAUCAGAUGGUUUUGGUGUUGUUCAGCAUUAAAAAUAAAUCUCUCUGCCUUUGCCAGAAGUAAAUUUGGCAAUUGUGUGCUCCCUGCUGCAGGAAAACAAUGUCUCUCUUUAGAGCUCCGAACCAAGCUUUGGCAAUGAAAUGGGGCCCAAUGUCCAUUGAUCUCAAUGGAAAACCUAUUAUUAGAAGGAUCACUGUGACCACAUCCUGCCAUCAUUUUGUACCCAGAAACACCACUGAGGUCAGCAGGAUUUUUGUGCAAAUAUUUAUGGCAGGAUAUGGCCCACUUCAGGGCAUUCUGAGGGCUGACAAGCCCUCAGCAGAAUUGUUCCUUCUUCCAUGGUUGAUCCUAUCAGGCUGCUAAAAUCUGAGCCAUGGACAAGUCAAAAACCCCACCAUCCAAGCUGGUGUUGACUGAAACCCAGUAAUGCAGUUUGGGCAAUUUAAACUCAGACAUGAAGCAAGACUCUGGCAUUGCACAAUGUCCUGGUGGAUUAUGCCAUGCCUUGGACACUGGAGGGUUGUAUCCUUCUAAUUCCUCAAGAAAGCAGCAAGAAACAACUUUGAUAGGUCUGUGGCUUGGGCAAGUGAAAACUGUUGAUAAUUGAGUAAUUUAAGGUUUUCGUUUUCAGCAAAUGCUUUGCAUGUGUGACUAGUGCAGUGAAUUUCCUGCUUGCCAAAUUCAGUUCUAUCAACACUUAUUGGAACCAUGAGCUAGGCUAGAGGGAAAGCUCUAUCUUUUAUCCUUUUGAUAUGGGGAGUAAAUUAAUGCUUUUCAGCUUACUGUACAUCUGUGUUUUCACUGGCCAGCAGAAAACUGUGUCACUGACUCACUGCUUGAUCUUGGGUAAAUCAUGUAAUCCUGUCUAUCCCAGUACCCUCAUGUGCAUAAAUAAUGUAAUGACUCUCAUCUGUCUUUAGAAGCUGUUACAAUAACUUGGGUUUUGUACUUUUAGCUUUACUUUAGUCUUUCCCACAGUGUUUUAUUGGUGAAAGAAGGAGGCUCUUACCCAAGUCAAAGUCAAAAAGUUUCUUAUCCCAGCUGGGUGCUGAAAUAUUCACUAUUCACAGGUUUAGAUAAUUUGCAUAAAUGACAGCAUUUUAGCUGAAGUGUUUUUCAUACCUGUAGGGCCAGACUCAAAGUUGAUACGGAUUUGACACUGUAGAUAUUUCUCUGCUAAAAUGACAACCUGGCAUUUCCAGCAAUAGCUGCUGUAGCCCAGCUGCAUGGCUGGAAGGUGGGAAAAGCCUUGCAAAUCCUCUAAAAGCUGAAAGAGGCACAACAAUUAAUCAAUCCUCACCUGAAAGUGGAUUUACUGUUUGGUUCCCAUGAAGAGUGUAGUUUAGGUUGAAGCCAAAAAACAAAUUCAAAGCUUAAUGAUUUUCCUGUGUAUCGACAUCUAUAAAGAGAAACAAAAAACCAAACCAAACCCAAACUCAAAGCAUGGCCUGACAACACAAAUGGGCCAUUCCACAAUACCAAGCCUGGACAUUUUCAACUAUAGACUGCACAAAAUCAUUCUUUACAUUUCGAUCUGCAUCCUGAGACUCAAGACUUACAUGGUCUGUAGCUUCUUCCUCCUGCAUUUUAUGCUGUAAUAAAAUGCUAAUCUCUGGGAAAGAAUGACUUGCUAAUAUCAGAAUUUUAGGUAGAAAUGUAAUAGUUUCAAAGGAACUGGUUUGUUGAAAACCUUCUUCAUUCAGAGGUAAAACUUGUGGAGGGAAGAGACUGCAGGAUAUGAAGAUCUGAGAGUACAGGGGAUAGGUGAUAUUGUCACUAAGAACAUUUCUAAGGGACAGGAGGGAAAAAGGUUUUUGUCUGUGCUUUGAUGAAAAAAAAAGGUCUACUUUUCUAUUAGCCCAGUGCAAGAAUAAAACUAAAUGCAAAAUCUCAAAAACUGUUUAAAAAUUUAAUUCUUGCUUUCCAGCUAGUUCUAGACCAGGAUGAUUCUGGAGGGAGAAGUUUUCCCUGAAACAGGAAAGGUGUGAUCCUGCAACUGCCCCUUAGUCAGAGGUGUCUGGCUCCCCAGCAUAGCUGCAGUUUCCAUCUGAUCCCAGCCAGCAUCCCCAGCACAGGCAGCAAGUGCCUCAUGGACACAGCUCUGUGGUUAAAGUGCUGAAUCAGGAUUCAGCUGAACUUCAGUUCUGGCUUGCCUUGAGAUUUUGUACUUAAUAUUGAGCAAUGCACUUAAUGUCUGUGCUUCAGUUUCCUAUCUGUGAGAGUUUGCUUUCAUGAGGCAUCAGGGACCUGCUGUAAGUACAGAUAUUUUCAUUUAGUACAACCUGUGACCAAUGGCAAAUUUUCAACUCAAAAUACAUGUUUGCAUCUAAAAAUCUGAUUUAAUCAAGGUAAUAAAACUUGAAGGUCCAUUAAAAAAAUUUAGGCAAUCCUGGAGGUGUGAGUUUACCAACAUCUGUGUUAGGUGGGGUUGCAUGGGCUUCCCCACUGAAAUGGGCCAAGAACCAAUAUUCAAAUAGGUUUUGGAGGGAGAAUGGGAUACUCAGACUUCAGAAAGGGCACAAAACCUUAAGAUCAAGGUUUCUUACAGGGGUCUUAUAAAAAAUUAAAUCUUUACAUUGGUCUUCACCACUGCAGAGGCUAAAACAGGAAAACUCCAAAUUCAGUGAUUUUAUGGCUGCCCUUUGAAUGAAAACGUGAGCUACAGGUUUAGGCUACAUGGAGAAGCUGCAUCACUGAAACAAAAGGGAACCUUUUAACUGCUUCCUUCUAUUGUCUUCUCUUACUAUCUGCUUUGCCACCCAUGUUCUUUUUCUCUUGGAACUAACACCAUGGUUUUGCUCUUUCCCAGAAUAAUAAUAGCAAUAAUAGAAAACUGCUGCUUUGCAAAUAACUGUGGAAAAUACACACGGAAAUCUUUAGGAGUGAAAAUAGCUGCAAUGAAUGACAGUUGCUACUAGCAAUGGAAAUGUUUGGCUUAAGGUAUAAGAAAAAAAAGGCAUGAAAAAUCAUGUCAGAGCUGCUGAAAUUUCAUCAGGAGGACUAAGUGCAUGAUCUUCUCAGGCACAGGAAAAAUAGAGGGAAGAUUGUCAAUACCCUAAAGUCCUGACCCAUCUUUGUAAAGUUCUCCUUACCACAGGCACUAAGUGUUCUUUAAUGCAAGUCAAGCACUGCAAAUGAGGAAAGAGAGAGAAAUUAGUCUGAACAGGAAGCUUCAAAUAUUCUAAGACUAAUUGAGUUUAGAUAAUUAAGGGUUUUUAAAGCAGUAAUUCAGAGGAGAAUGGGAGGGGACGACAGUUUAAUUGAGAUUGCCUGUCCAUCUGUGAAUUCUCAGUGCAUCCUUCUGUGGCAUGUCCCUCUUGUCAUUCCUUCUGACCUGAAGGGGCUGAUGUCGUUUGUAUUGACCUUAUUAGCUGGCAGCACUGCAGGAUUCCUCUUCCAUUUCAGAGCUGUUUGUGCUGUCCUGCACUUCGAAAUGCCCUGUCCUGGAGCCUUUUGGGUGUUUCUGGGGUCAUGCUGGGAGUUGGGGGAUGAGGAAAGGGUUUGAAAGCUACUUUGUACUUCAGUGGAAGCCAUUCCAUGUGUGUUGGAGGUAAGUAUUCAUCUCUGCUGCAGCAAGGCAGCCAAAACUGGAGUCAAGACCCGAGCCUUUGCUGCCAGAAGUGGGUUGACAGUGGUGAUAAGCCUGGCUGGUUCAGGGAGAAGGUUUCCAAUAGUCUUGCAUUUACUAGUAAGAAAACAGCUUUUUAAAUGGAUGUCAAAGUUGUUUGCACCUUGCAAGUGCCUGUCCUACACCAACUGUAUAUGCACCAUGGAUCUCUCCUGAUCUGCAGCUUCCUGUGUGGAUGUCUCACAGGCCCACUGCCUUUAAAUACAGAGAGUGUGAUGGAGGCAGAUCCAUGUGGCACUGUGAGCACCAGAGAUUUGGAUACAGCGAGCAUGAAACAGUGUUGCAAUGGAGAAGUUGCAGCAAAGCAAGAGGGCCCUUUCCUGACAGACCAUCCUGCUUGCACCAGGAAUCUGCUUGUCAGGAACGAGGAAACAAACUCCAGGAUGUUUUCAUGGGGAGAGCCAGGCAAAUGCUGUGUACUAACCUGCCAUCAGCAGGUGUUUUCCUAGUGAUUGUCAUUGGUACUGUCCCUCUGGGGCUAUUCGGAUAUGGAAAGUGGAAUAAAUAAUCAAAGAGGAUGUUCCUAGCUGCUAAUUUUCAGUCAGAUUUGAUACCAGUCCAAGAUUUAACACUUCCUUUCUCUGCCAGCCACAUACUAAAAAUAACAUAUUUUCAGGAUAUUGGAGACCACUGGAAACCUGUAGUAUUUGGCACUUGAACAUUGCCUUUCCUCUAAAGAUCUCAGAGCAAAAAGUUGGAGCCUCAUCAUGUCUCCUUGGAAUUGGGAGAAUUUGAGACAUUUUUAGAGCUACUUGAGAUGUAGGUAAACAGGAGACAAAUCUUCAAGAGGUCUGAAUUUCCUUUUGAGUGACAUCUGUUUAAAAAAUGGAAAAGCACAUUUACUUUGGCUUGUCUCAUGGAUCUUCUGGCUGUGCCCCAGAGCAGGGUUGGCCCUUGCUGGGGCCAGGGAGAUGCCCUUGGUGGAUAUAAUGAGGAGACACCAGCUGGGAUGGUUUCCCUCUGCACAGAUUACUGCCCUCAAUAAACUGUGGAGAGUAGUUAUUCUUGUUAGGGGUUUUUGUUUUCUUUUUCUGUUUUUUUUUUUUUUUAGACUGCCUUCCAAUAAUCAGACUCAUUAACUAAUAUUUCUGGCAUAUGGAAUGUUUUUUAGAUGGAAGUUUUUUUGGUUUUGUUUUUUUUUGCUUUCUUUCUCUGUGCUUUAUUUUUCUCUUUGGUCUUAGUCAUUGGUUAACAUAGAGAUGGUGGAAGAAACUAAAAAAAAUGAAAGCUCUGGCUGCCUGGCAGGGAUGCAACAGAUCGGGUCUGUUUGUGCAGAUGGGUUGUUGCAAUGUCCCAGAGCCAGGAGGGUUCCCUGCCUGCUCUGCCCUGAGCAUGACGUGUCAGAUGGGUCUUCUCAGGCCUUGGGAAAGCAGCUGCUUUUGCACUGUUGGGAAAACAACACAUAGGUGGGCUUCAGCCAAAAGCCCAGUGAAAGAGAUGAAAUAGAGAGUAUGGAACAGGCAGGCUGAGAGUAAGGCAGAAGUUCCCCAAGGAAACAGGAUUUUUUGGAUUCUCUCCUCAAGUAAUUGAGCACUUUUCUCCCAAGAUUCAAAGUUGCUGCAGAGCCUCUUCCCUCUGAAGGACAACCAAUGAUUUCUUGUGUGUGAUAGUUUUGGUUGCUCUGCUCAUUUUGAUAAUUCAUUUAAGUCUCCCAAAGUAGCUGUAAUUUAAUCAAACUGCCUGAAAAACAGCAGGACCAUUCAUGGCACAGCAGGAUGUGCACAGCUGCCCAUGGAGGCCCAGUGAAGCCACGUGAUUUUCAUCUUGUGGUGAUUUUCAUCUUGUGCCACCUCUCACAAAACAGAGGUGGGUCAGCCCUUGAAUUCCUACAGGUACUGGGAUGUUUUCCUUACUGGAAAGGGGCUGUUCUUACUCUUUGAUGUUGACGAUGUGAUGACUUGGAGAUAACUACAAGAGUCUCCUUAUGGUGAGCAAGCGCUUGGAUUGUUUAUUUGGUAGAGAGAAUGAAGUCACCUGCCUGAUGAGAGAUCUAAAUGUUAGUGAAAUGUCAAAACUGCCCACAUCUGUUUUAUCUGCCAAAUCUCAGGGAAGUUAUCAUUUCCACCCUGCUUGGGGAAGCUGUUUUUGUUAUGUUAAGCGGGGUGGCUGUGUGCCACUGUCUACCUGACUCCACUAAACCAAUCUGUUCUUUUCUCCUUGCCUUUUCUCACCCCAUCCUGACAGAUGUAGAGGAGUACAGGUGCAUCAUAGAUUUUUUCUUUUUUUCCCCAAUGCUGAUGAUAAAGUACCAGGUCUGGUGAGAGAUAUUUCAUGCCUGACUGUUGCAUCAUGCUUAGUGACCUUCAGACUCUUGCUUGUGUGGAGACAGUGGGGACCUUUUGAUUUACAGCACUGCUGAAGCGGCUGCACACCUUGGCAAGGGCCAAAGACUAUUUCAGUUCAAGUGUGUGGGUGAUGAGUGAAGAGACACAUUUUGCACUCCUCUCACACUGCUGAGAGAUUUAUUUAUUUUUGAAUGUUACAGAUUUCAUUUGAACUUAAAAAGAUUUUUAAAUUAUUUUUUUUUAACCUAAAGUUGAAAAUGCCUUAAUGAAACAUUUCUGUGUCUCUUCUCACUAAUCAGGGGUUACUUCCUCAAGGAAUCUCUAUCCCAGCUUUUCCUCCAACUGCUGAUUGUUCUGGGCUUUUUCCUUCAUGUUAAUAAUUUCUGGCUCCUGCUUGGGUUUAUUAGAGUACCCUUUGCUUCAUCUCCACUUGAAAAAAAAUAAAAAUCUUUCCUUUGCAUCUUGCCUCUCUUUUCCCUUGGCAGGAGACAAAAGGGAGGCACUGCUUGUGGAAAAGUAACCCCUUUCAGAGCUGUGAACACAAAGUGAGGCUGAAAGGAUCCAUUGCUCUGCAGACCUGGAGAUGCUGUGCCCAAUGCAGAGCUGAAGAGAUGUUUUGGGGGAUACCAGGGCUGGGGCUGGAGGGACAGAGGUGAAAGACAAGACAGCUGUGGUGGGGAGCAGGAUUCAUUCCCCGGCUCCCUGUCUGCACUCCGUGGCCUUCUCGGGCGCCACCAAGCAGGUGCCUGUGGGCUGAAUUGCAGUGGGUGUUGCACAAGGAGCUGCAGGCUGGUGGAAAGGCUCCAGGGAGCCAGCUCCAGCCUACGGACUGGAGGUUUGACUCCCUUAGUCUAGACACUCUCACGGGGAUUACAUCAGCAAUAAUUUGUCAGUCUCUAUUUAUUUUCCAGUGGCAUGGUUAGUAUUUACUGGUGCUGAGAUUCUCCUCAUGCUCUUCCAUAGUUUAUCACACAAGAGGCAGAGCAGCUUCCCAGGCCACCAUUUCCAUGGGUUUUUGAAUAAUAGUAGUGAUGCUCAUGCUUAGGAGAAGGAAAUGUACCUAAACAUCCACAUCCCUCUGAGGGGCAGGAACAUCCCUUGUGUAUUUUGAUGCAGCUGCUUCCCCAAAAGCAUCAGAUAUUUUAGUCAGAAUUGUACAUAAUCAAAUAUGUUCAUCAACCUUGAGAAUAAGGUGUGAGCACACUUUGCUGUCACUUUAGGAAAAAAUUCCUUCAGUCUCAAAUCCAUUUAUGUGUCACAAUCCUAGUUUUUUACACAACAAACCUACCGCUUUCAGGUACAGUAGAUUUACACACAAUCCAUGGGGAACAUAACCAUAACCCAACUUUAAACAUGGAUCUUGGUGCCUAACAUGAGCACUGUCUUGGCUUCUCUGGGUUGUUAAUGAACAGAUGUCUUUGAGCUGCCUUUUGCAGAAGCUUUUCAAGUAAACUGCUGCUCUGACACACCCUCUGGAAGAGUUUACCUCUUCCUAUAGACUGGAGAGAAGGACUAUUAUAGUCCUAUUUUAUACUAAAAAUUUUAUAGUAUCAAAGUAAUUUUAUAAUAUUAAAAAUAUAUUUGUACUAUUUUAUAUUAAAUACAAUUUUAAAAUAAAGCUGUGUGAAUAACCACCUUUGAACUUACUUCCUUUUUACAAGUGGGAUUAAAGUUCAAGUGCUGACGACAUUUUACACCCCAACUUUUGGACUCUGCUUCUUCCAUGACGUUUUGUCAAGACUCCAUAAUUCAGAGGGGGUAAUUGAAGAUUGUGAAUAUUAAAGAUAUGAUAUGAAAUAUUCCAAGUCUACAAAAUGUGAACUUCCGUGAAUGAGUUUAGGGGAAAGCUUGGCUUGUGCAGCAGGACAAUACAAAUUUCACAAGACUUGUCUUUCAUGUUUUGGAUUUCCCCCCAAAGUACUGAAAGGGCAUUAAACCACAGUUUAAUAAAUAAAAAAUAAAACAGUUAGUUGGUUGUUGGGGUAAGAGGAAACCCAUAGAAAAGUAAAUCUUUAACUCAAAACAAAAAUCAAGGAACUUUCUCAAACUCCAAGGAUCGAUGCUGUUUUAUUAUUAAACCACUGUGCUGUUGUUCCCGUGGAAACAAAGCAACAAAUAUUUGAAGCUGUGUCACACCUUCCACCAAAACUCCAGUUAAGAAUGUUUUGGAAAGUGUUUGUGUCAGUGACAGCACUCCUGUGCUCUGAAUGACGGCUUUGUGCAGCCUCCUGGGCUCCUGCACAGGCCACAAGGUGAACUCCCCACUCAGUCUCCUGAAUUCCUUGUCUUUAUAACUCUCUGCAAGGAAUUAAUUGCACCAGGAGCUCUGUACCCAGUACAGACGAUAAGUUUGAGGCUGCAGCAAUGACCCAGAUGAAAUGUGUGACAGCAGUGGCAUUUGGUCCUUUGCUGUUGGUUUGGGUGGGGUUUUUGUAAUCCAUAAUUUUCUACAGAUCAAUUCUCUUAACAUGCCAGAUGAUUUCACCUUGAACCCAGUGGGAUCUGUUCAGAAAUUGAAAGAAAAAAACGCCAUGAAAUAUAACUGAGAUUUUAGCUUAAAAUAAUAUUUACCUUAGUGAGAUAAUAUGAUCCAUCUCCUCAUUACCAGUGGGAAGAGAUCUCUCCAUGCUGCCAGAUAUCUUUUACCUGAGGCACCCCAUCUGUUUAUAUUUGCAGGCUGGGGGGAGUGGAGGAAAUAUGAUCAAACUUAGCAGGUGCUCCUUUUUUUAUUUAUUUUUUUAUUCUUUUUAAUUAAAAUGCUGCUCUUGUUUUCUCUUUGCCCAUUUCUUUCACCUCCAGAUCAACCAUCAUAUUUUAAGUCUUUUAACCAGAAAAUUAUCUUGUUACCCUGUUUUCCAAACAAGGAGAAUAAUCCAAAGAAGAAGAAGUAAAAUGCAUUGACUCUGGUACUAUGUGUUGGGUUUUUUUACUGAAUAUAAGGUCAAAACUGUAAUUAAAUAUCUCAGCACUGGGAAAAGCAUCAUAUUUCUCAUUUCCAGCAUGGAAAAUAGCUGAUGAUGUCUCAUUAAGGACAAGCCCAUUUUGCAACCUUUCCUUUGCUGGAAGCACUAAUCACCUUUUUCUUGCCUACACACAUACCUAUUUUCAGACAGUUCAUAGAAGUUUACUAUCUUACAAAUCUCUUUUGCACUGUUAAAUGUCUUUGAAAUCUUCUAGUUGGUUCUAGAGCUAUUAAGGCUGGAAGGGGGGAAGGACAUUUCAUUAUGUUUUUGCACAUUAGGCUGGAAUGUACUCUUCUGAUGUGUGAGGAUACAUCACAAUGAAUCCAACUCUAUAAAACUGAGCUCCCCUUCUGAACCAGACCAGGUUGGAUGGAGCUCUGAGCAACCUGGUUUAGUGGAAGGUGUCCCUGCCUAUGGCAGAGAUGAUCUAUAAGGUCCCUUCCAACCCAAACCAUUCUGUGAUCCCAUGAAUUAGAGUUCUUUAUGAUGCAUUUACUUUGUGUAGUACUCUGUGUACAAGGACGCUGGAGUGCUCUGAAUGUGAAAUAAAACAAAUAGUUGUCUAAAAUUUUCUUAA